rnacentral:misc_RNA from 1 species
CUACGACUAUCUGCUAUUGAAGCAUCCAUCUACAAAUGGAUAAUAUUUUUGUUUUUGUGUAGGCGAGUUUUUGAAAAUAACGGAUCCCUACCCCCUCAAGGGGUAGGGAUCCGUUAUUUUAUUGAGUCGGUUUCUUUAGUAGUUUUUUUUUUUUCUUUUCUUUCGUUCAUUUAGUAUGACCUAUUUGGUAUGCACUAAUGCUACUAAGAAAUUUCUAAUAGAUAAAAAUUCYCUAAGGGUUCAAAUUUUUGAAAAU